rnacentral:rRNA from 1 species
AAGGAUCAUUACAGAGUUAGGGUCGUCCAGGCCCAACCUCCAACCCCAUGUGUUAUCCAUCUCUGUUGCUUUGGCGGGCCCGUUUGAGGUGACUCACCGGUGGCCUCGGCUGCCGAGCGCCCGUCAGAGACCCAUGAAACUCUGUUAAUUGUGAUGUCUGAGUACCAAUACAAUAGUUAAAACUUUCAACAACGGAUCUCUUGGUUCUGGCAUCGAUGAAGAACGCAGCGAAAUGCGAUAAGUAAUGUGAAUUGCAGAAUUCAGUGAAUCAUCGAAUCUUUGAACGCACAUUGCGCCCUUCGGUAUUCCGGAGGGCAUGCCUGUUCGAGCGUCAUUGCACCACUCAAGCUUGGCUUGGUAUUGGGUCCUCGUCCUCCCUGGACGUGCCCGGAAAUCAGCGGCGGCACAGCCCGGCUUCAAGCAGUAUUAGUUUAUCUUUCGCUUUGGAAGCUUCGGGUUGGGUCUGCCGGACAACCCCCGUUAUUCUCAGGUUGACCUCGGAUCAGGUAGGGAUACCCGCUGAACUUAA